UCUGAUAAAUUUGAGGCGCUGGGUUUUAAUGAAUUUUGAAAAUUUCCGAAAAUACCCCUAUCUAUUUUCUGGCUCACUUCUCUGGGUGCGUCGUCUCCUUCCCUCACAUCACGUUGCUUCUUUGCGCCAUCUCUUCACAUAGCCCACUCCUCUCCUUUCCUUCCAUUCUGCCUACAGUUUUUUCUUGUUGGAUCAAUUGAGGCGCACUGCUGAGCCACAAGACUCAGAGAAAAAACCCAACCCAUUCUAAUUCUAAGAGUCAGGGAACAGAGACAAAGAUGGCAAAGCGUCUAAUUUCAACCUUUAACCAUGGGCUAGUUGGCAAACUCUUUUCCGAGUCCUUCACCAAGCUGAACUCCGGAAAGGCAGCGGCUGUGGGAUUGGGUAAACAGGACAAAGCAGGUUACAGUACGCAGGCCAAGCAAGAGUCUCAUUUUUACGACGGUGCUUUUGUGGAUGCAUUCUUGAUGAAAAUGAAGAACAACAAAGAUCUUCUUAUGAAUAAGAAAAUUUGGUCGCGGAGAUCUACAAUUUUGCCAGAAUUCGUGGGUUCUACAGUUCGUAUUUAUAAUGGAAAGGUUCAUUUUCGUUGCAAGAUCACUGAAGAAAAGGUUGGACAUAAAUUUGGAGAAUUUGCAAUGACACGGAAACGUAGAGUUCAUGCUAAAACUACUGGACCAGCAAGACCAACAAAACCAGGAAAAAAAGCAGGCAAAAAGUAAAGCUCUAAGAGCAUGCGUAUGUGACUCAAAGAAUCUGAAUCACUUCUCAUGUUCCGUCUUUUUUGAUCUUAUAAUGUCAGGUUUAUAUUGAAAUUCUUAACAUAUCUGAUUCUAUCUUAACACAUGAGCGAUUUGGUUGGACAUUUCCUAGUGUAUUUUAAUUCAUUGUUGAAAUUUUCUCAGUGGAUGCUUGCAUGCUAAUACUUUCGGUAAACACAAGUUGUGUUUGGUUUGUUAUUUGCAUUGACAGAGAUGUAGUUUGUCCAAACAAAGCUAUUUGAUUUCAAAUAAGUUAUGAAUACCAUUUUCUCCCUACUUUGUUGGAAGAAAUCCAAUGCUGGAACCAGCUUUUCCAUGUGAGCUAGGUUAGCUUGGUUGGAAGAAAUAUUUUGGUACUCUUUUUCCGGUUCAGAUCCACCAUUUGAUUUUAAUUUCUCUAAACAAAAAUAAUUUGCCUCGUAAUUUGUAAAUGUGGUGAAGCCAAAACCCAAAAAAAAAAAGAAAAAAAAAAUCUCAAUUCUUUUUAAAAGUAAGGAAAAUUAAGAUGCCAUUGCCUAUUUUCUGCAAAAAUACAAAAAGCCCUUCUGCGCACAAAUUGUACCUUCUCGUAAAUUAAUAUUCCUGGAAGAAAAACAAAAUAUUUAGUAAGGCUGUUCGUGUAAUUUUCAAAAUCUAAAUGGAAAAAAAGAAGAAAAGGAAAAACACCUGACACACUCAUACAGAGAAAAUGGAGGAUGAAACUUGGAGUACAAGUACAACACAAGCUAAGGGAGAAGAAAAUAUUAAAACAAAAAUUGAGAAUGGAGAAAAAACUUCCCAGCUCCCAGUAGCAUCUGUACGGUGAGCGACUGUAGCUCAAGGUCUCAACUUCUCAGCUGUAGGUAGAACAGAAAGCUGGUGCCGAGUUGAGUGUGAUGGGCAGAGGUAGAAAGAGGUCAGGGAAAGACCCAGAAGCGGGUUUUGGAGAAAAUGAUAGGGGUUUAGAGAAGAAAGAGGGCUUUUUGGAAAAUCAAAAUGGUGGGACAAAAUGGGUAGGUGAAGAAGGUGAUGGGGUUGCUUUGAGUUUGAAGAAGAAGAAGCGUGGUGGAGCUUUGGCGGGUGAGAAAGUUGUGGAAGGUGGGGAUGGAGCAAAAUGGGAAGAGGGUAAAGGCAAUUGGGUUGCUCCGACUUGGAAGAAAUAUAGUAGGCGGAGGAAGAGGGACAGAGAUUUGGUGCCUGAGAAAGUUGGGGAAGGUGAUAGAGGUAGAAAGAAAUGCCAAAUGUGUUGAGAAUCGGACUGGAAGUGAUGAGAAAUGGGGUCCAAUGGGUCUGGGGAAUGAGAAAGUUUAUGUCUUUAGUGGGUUGGACUCUCAAGAAGGUCAAGGGCAAGGAAGUACUGGUUUUAGUGGCAAGGAAGUUGAAGGAGCUUCAGCAAAGAAACGUGGUAGACAGAGUAAGAAAAUUGAGAAAGUUAAGGCAUCUGAAAGGGGAAUGGAGAAGCUUGUCAGUGGGAAUUGUAUUGUUAAUAAGAAGAGUGCAUAUGUUGAGGAGGUGUCUUUGAUGUGCCAUCAAUGUCAGAGGAAUGACAAGGCCAGUGUUGUUCGGUGCAGAAGGUGCAAGAGAAAGCGGUUUUGUAUCUCUUGCCUAAAAAAAUGCUGCAAAUUCUGCAUUAGCGAAGAUAAAAAAGUUGAGCACUCAAAGUAUUUGCUCCAAGUACUACUUCCAUUCUUGAAAAGAGUUAAUGAUGAACAAAUGAUUGAGAUGGAGAUCGAGGCUAGGAGACAAGGGCUAUCUCUUUCGGAGCUAAAGAUACAAAGAUCAGAUUCCUCCUAUGGUGAUCGAGUGUACUGCAACAACUGCAAAACUUCUAUUAUUGAUUUACACAGAAGCUGUCCUAUAUGUUCAUAUGAUCUUUGCCUCAUCUGUUGCCGAGAGAUUCGAGAUGGACACCUGCUGGGAGGUGGGGAGGAAGUGAUUAUGGACUAUAUCAAUCAGGGCCUAAACUAUUCGGGACGCUGUAGAACUGCCUUCAGAAACUAGCCACACUUGUCGUACAGGGUCAACAUCCGAGAGGAAAGCAAAUUUAGAUGGAAGUAUUUUUUGCCCCCCAGAGAACAAGGAUGGCUGCCGUCAAAGUUUUCUAGAAUUGAGAUGCAUGUUUUCUGAAAAUGAUGUCAGAGAGUUGGUUAAGAAAGCAGAGGAAAUUGCUCAAACUUACAAAUUUACGCACGCGGCUGGAAUUUCUGCACAACAGUGUUCAUGUUCUAAUUCUGCAGGUGUUCUUGACUUGAGCAGCAAUAAGUUAAGGAAAGCAGCUUCUCGAGAGGGUUCUGAUGACAACUUCUUGUACUGUCCAAGGGCUGGAGAUAUCCAACAUGAGGAGUUUAAGCAUUUUCAAUGUCAUUGGAUCAGAGGUGAGCCUGUGAUUGUGAGCAAUGUGCUUGAAACUGCAUCAGGUCUAAGCUGGGAACCAACGGUCAUGUGGCGUGCUUGUCGUGAGAUGAAGCGUACUAGGCAUAAGAAACAUUUGGAAGUCAAGGCCAUUGAUUGCUUAGAUUGGUGUGAGCUAGAUAUCGGUAUCCACAAGUUUUUUACUGGAUAUUCAAAAGGCCGUUUUGAUCGGCAAAUGUGGCCGCAGAUGCUAAAACUCAACGAUCCGUCCCUGGAUGACUUUUUCAAAGAGCGCCUUCCUCGUCACUGUGCUGAGUUUAUUUGCUACUUGCCGUUUGAGGAAUAUACUCAUCCUCACAGAGGCUUUUUGAACCUUGCUGUUAAAUUGCCCAAGGAAUGUGUAAAGUAAAGCCAGAUAUGGGGCCAAAGACAUAUAUUGCUUAUGGUGUUUCCGAGGAGCUUGGACGUGGAGAUUCUGUAACCAAGCUUCACUGCAAUUCCUGUGAUGUGGUGAAUAUUCUGACACAUACUGCUGAAUUUACCCUUACUCCCAAGGACAUUGAAAAUAUGAAAAGGUUGAAAAAAAAGCACAUUGAACAAGACAGAAGGGAAAUGUUUGGAAAUUGUCGGACUGAAUGACAAUGUUGGUAGUAACAAGGCUGGCGGUGGCAGGGCUGCAAAUGAUAAGAAAUUUUUUUUUGAAGUUGACAAUCAAAACAAGGGUGCAGCUUUUCAUGAGCUGACUGAUCCAGCUGUUCAACCUGAUGGUGAUUCUUGUGUUUCUAGUUUGAAUGCUGGAAGUUUUAAAGAGGGAUCCAAGUCUGAAAAGAAUGUAGAGGGUGAUGCUUUAUGGGACAUUUUCAGCGAGAAGAUGUUCCUAAGCUGCAGGAUUAUCUCCGGAAGCACUACAAGGAAUUCAGGCAUACCUACUGUUGUCCGCUGCCACAGGUUAUUCAUCCCAUACAUGAUCAGACCUUUUAUCUGACUCUGGAGCACAAAAGGAAGCUCAAGGAAGAAUAUGGAAUUGAACCAUGGACAUUUAUCCAAAACCUUGGGGAUGCUGUUUUAAUUCCGGCAGGAUGUCCACACCAAGUGAGAAACUUGAAGUCGUGCAUUAAAGUCGCACUUGAAUUUGUCUCUCCUGAAAAUGUUGGGGAGUGCAUACGGUUGACAGAUGAAUUCCGCACACUUCCACAAAAUCAUAGGGCUAAAGAGGACAAAUUGGAGGUGAAGAAAAUGAUCCUCUUGAGACAGGUGAAGAAAAUGAUUGUUCAUUCUGUGCGUUGGCUUGUGAAGUAUUUGAAUCAAAAUAUGAGACAUGUAUGCAGAGAUGAAUCUGGAGAAAGACAGCAAGAAGGAAUGGCAGAAGAGGGUUCUGGAGAAAGACAGCAAGAAGGAACGGCAGAAGAGGGUGAAGUCCAAGCUGUUGACAAGCAGCCCACACAGAAAGACAGAAGGGUUGAAGAAGAGGAAAUGCACUUGGUUAAAGAGCAGCCUUCACCUGCCCCUGUUGUACAAUGCAGAACUGUACAUGCAUGGAGAGAGGAAGAAUCUGUAGGACAGCAAGACGGAAUGGAAAAAGAGGAGGUCCAAGUUGUUGUAAAGCAGCCUUCACAGCCCCCUGUUGAAGGAGGUAAAACUGGGCAUGCAUUGGAAGAGGAAGAAGCUGGAGGACAGCAAGAAGGAAUGGGAGAAGAGGAGGUCCAAGUUUUUGAGGAGAAGCCUUCACAGUCCCCUGUUGAACGAUGUAGAAUUAGACAUGCAUGGAGAGGGGAAGAAGCUGGAGCACAGAAACAAGGAAUGGUAGAAGAGGAGGAGGUCCAAGUUGUUGAGGAGCAGCCUCCACAACCCCCUGUUGAACGAUGUAGAAUUGGACAUGAAUGGAGAGACAAAGAAGCUGGAGCACAGCAAGAAGGAAUGGUAGAAGAGGAGGUCGUCCUAGUUGUUGAGGAGAAGCCUUCACAACCCCCUGUUGAACGAUGUAAGAUCGGACAUGCAUGGAGAGGGGAAGAAGCUGGAGGACAGAAAGAAGGAAGUGGUGAUGAGGAAGAGGUCCAAGGUGCUGAGGAGCAGCGAUCCUCCUCACAUCCUGCACAGUCCACUGUUUAACGACGUAGCAUUGGACAUGCACUAAGAGAGGUGGAAGGAGGACAACAAGAAGGAUGGAAAGAAGAGGAAGAGGUAGUUGUUGUGGAGAAGCCUUCACCAUCGUCACAGUCUGGAGGAGACGAGGAAGAGGUAGUUGUUGUGGAGAAGCCUCCACAAUCAUCACAGUUUCGACACACCACUAUUGAUCUUGUUACAGUGGCGCAGCAUCUCGAUGGCCUCGUGGAACGCAUUACACAUUUUGAACAGACAAUGGAAGAGAGAGAUAGAGCGCAGCAUCCUGAAUUCCAGCGCAUACGUUCAGAUUUAUUGAAUUUAUCUUCCCAUCUUGGUUUCACAACUCACCCGAAAGAGCCUGGCAUCCACCAUCCUCUCAACAGCUGAAGACCAAAGACCGUUAAAUUUUAGGAUUUGUCGUUUUGAUGAUGUAUGCAAAAUUUGGAUCAAUGGUUCACUUUUAGUCUUAGUGUACUUAAUCAAUGACAGUUGAUUUUGGAAUCAAAUUCUCAUUCUGUGCUGUGUCCUCGA